GGAUCAAUUUAUUGGUCGUGCUAUUGUACGUACUGGUAUUAUUGAUUUCUACCUUCUGACGAACCAUGAUGUCAUUAAUUUGGUGUGAUGGGAAAUCAGGACUGUUACUUUGAAAAAAUUAGAGUGUUUAAAGCAGACUAUCGUCUGAAUACAUUAGCAUGGAAUAAUGAAAUAGGACGGACUGAUUCUAUUUCGUUGGUUUCUAGGAUCACCGUA
rnacentral:rRNA from 1 species